rnacentral:rRNA from 1 species
AAUGAACGCUGGCGGCAGGCCUAAUACAUGCAAGUCGAGCGGAGCUGCGGACGGGCGAGUAAUGCCCAGGAAUCUGCCUUGCAGAGGGGGCUAACGUCCGGUAAUGGGCGCUAAUAUCGUACACUAUCAGAUGAGCCUAGGGCGGAUUAGCUAGUUGGUGAGGCAAAGGCUUACCAAGGCGACGAUCCGUAACUGGUCUGAGAGGAUGAUCAGUCAUACUGGAACUGAGACACGGUCCAGACUCCUACGGGAGGCAGCAGUGGGGAAUAUUGGACAAUGGGCGAAAGCCUGAGCGAGCCAUGCCGCGUGUGUGAAGAAGGUCUUCGGAUUGUAAAUCGCUGUAAGUUGGGAAGCGUUACCAACACAGUAAGCCCCGGCUAACUUCGUGCCAGCAGCCGCGGUAAUAC